CAUGUCUACCACAUUGCAAUAGGCCCUCACACUGGCAUUGUGAGUACAACACUGAUAUGGAGAGUCAACCAUAUUGCGGAGUACAGGUCUUCUUUGCCCCAAACUGCUUCCUCUUCUCCUUUUCUCGAAUCGUGCACUAGAGGAUUUCUUGACAAC